rnacentral:rRNA from 1 species
UCCACAUGUUCACAUGAUUAAAGGUAUUCCGGUAGACGAUGGGGAUGCGUUCCAUUAGAUAGUAGGCGGGGUAACGGCCCACCUAGUCUUCGAUGGAUAGGGGUUCUGAGAGGAAGGUCCCCCACAUUGGAACUGAGACACGGUCCAAACUCCUACGGGAGGCAGCAGUGAGGAAUAUUGGUCAAUGGGCGAGAGCCUGAACCAGCCAAGUAGCGUGAAGGAUGACUGCCCUAUGGGUUGUAAACUUCUUUUAUAAAGGAAUAAAGUCGGGUAUGCAUACCCGUUUGCAUGUACUUUAUGAAUAAGGAUCGGCUAACUCCGUGCCAGCAGCCGCGGUAAUACGGAGGAUCCGAGCGUUAUCCGGAUUUAUUGGGUUUAAAGGGAGCGUAGAUGGAUGUUUAAGUCAGUUGUGAAAGUUUGCGGCUCAACCGUAAAAUUGCAGUUGAUACUGGAUAUCUUGAGUGCAGUUGAGGCAGGCGGAAUUCGUGGUGUAGCGGUGAAAUGCUUAGAUAUCACGAAGAACUCCGAUUGCGAAGGCAGCCUGCUAAGCUGCAACUGACAUUGAGGCUCGAA